rnacentral:rRNA from 1 species
UACAGAGGGGGCAAGCGUUAUUCGGAAUUAUUGGGCGUAAAGGGCGCGUAAGCGGCCUGGCAAGUGGAAGGUGAAAUCCCUCGGCUUAACCGAGGAACUGCCCUCCAAACUGCUUGGCUUGAGACCGGGAGAGGUGAGUGGAAUUCCCAGUGUAGCGGUGAAAUGCGUAGAUAUCGGGAGGAACACCAGUAGGCGAAGGCGGCACUC